ensembl:lncRNA
AUGGAUGCAGACGAUAGCAGCCUCCUGUGGUCACGUGACCUGAAGCUCAGCUUUUAAAUGUGCAGCAACGUUGGAGUUCAGCUUAAAGUAAAUGUGUGGCUUGUGAUUCAGUGGAAGCUCCUGCAGGGAGGAUCCACCUGGGACCACGAUCACUGCUUCCUCUCCUUCAUGCCUCUCAUGACCUGCGCUGCCGUUGACUUGGGGAUGAAGUUUGAUGAGCGGGGAGGAGGCGACGGACGGACGGACGGGAGGAGGCGACGGACGGACGGACGGGAGGAGGCGACGGACGGACGGACGGGGGAGGGAGGAAGGGGGAGGGAGGAGGCGAAGGACGGAAGGACGGACGAAGGGAGGAGGAGGGACGGACGGACGGACGGACGGGAGGAGGGGGCGGACGGACGGACGGACGGGAGGAGGGGACGGACGGACGGACGGACGGGAGGAGGCGACGGACGGACGGACGGACGGGAGGAGGCGACGGACGGACGGACGGACGGGAGGAGGCGACGGACGGACGGACGGGAGGAGGCGACGGACGGACGGACGGACGGGAGGAGGCGACGGACGGACGGACGGACGGGAGGAGGCGACGGACGGACGGGAGGAGGCGACGGACGGACGGGAGGAGGCGACGGACGGACGGGAGGAGGCGACGGACGGACGGACGGACGGGAGGAGGGCGGAGGACGGAGGGAGGAGGAGAGGGGACGGACGGACGGAACUGCGGGAGGACGGACGGACGGGAGGAGGCGACGGACGGACGGACGGGAGGAGGCGACGGACGGACGGACGGACGGGGAGGAGGCGACAGGACGGACGGACGGAGGAGGACGGCGACGGAGGCGAGGAGGAGGAGGAGGAGGAGGAGGACGGAAGAGGCGGAGGCGAGGAGACGGAGGGAGGAGGCGACGGACGGACGGACGGGAGGAGGCGACGGACGGACGGACGGGAGGAGGCGACGGACGGACGGACGGGAGGAGGCGACGGACGGACGGACGGGAGGAGGCGACGGACGGACGGACGGACGGACGGGAGGAGGCGACGGACGGACGGACGGACGGGAGGAGGCGACGGACGGACGGACGGACGGGAGGAGGCGACGGACGGACGGACGGACGGGAGGAGGCGACGGACGGACGGACGGACGGGAGGAGGCGACGGACGGACGGACGGACGGGAGGAGGCGACGGACGGACGGACGGACGGACGGGAGGAGGCGACGGACGGACGGACGGAGGGAGGAGGAGGCGACGGACGGACGGACGGACGGGAGGAGGCGACGGACGGACGGACGGGACGGGAGGAGGCGACGGACGGACGGACGGGACGGGAGGAGGCGACGGACGGACGGACGGGACGGGAGGAGGCGACGGACGGACGGACGGGACGGGAGGAGGCGACGGACGGACGGACGGGACGGGAGGGAGGCGACGGACGGACGGACGGGAGGAGGCGACGGACGGGACGGGAGGAGGCGACGGACGGGACGGGAGGAGGCGACGGACGGACGGGAGGAGGCGACGGACGGACGGGAGGAGGCGACGGACGGACGGGAGGAGGCGACGGACGGACGGGAGGAGGCGACGGACGGACGGGAGGAGGGACGGGAGGAGGCGACGGACGGACGGACGGACGGACGGGAGGAGGGACGGACGGACGGACGGACGGACGGGAGGAGGCGACGGACGGACGGACGGACGGGGGAGGGGCGACGGACGGACGGACGGACGGGAGGAGGCGACGGACGGACGGACGGACGGGAGGAGGCGACGGACGGACGGGAGGAGGCGACGGACGGACGGACGGACGGAGGAGGACGGAGAGGCGAGGAGGAGGACGGACGGGGGAGGACGGCGACGGACGGACGGAGGACGGACGGACGGGAGGAGGCGACGGACGGACGGACGGACGGGAGGAGGCGACGGACGGACGGACGGACGGGAGGAGGCGACGGACGGACGGACGGACGGAGGAGGCGACGGACGCGACGGGAGGAGGCGACGGACGGACGGGAGGAGGCGACGGACGGACGGGAGGAGGCGACGGACGCGACCGCCUGGAAGUCGGCGGCCGAUGACGGCUAUUGUUGCUCCGUCUCCGCUGAUUCCACCAACACAAAUCCUUGCGCUUCCUUCUGGUCUGUAAUUAAAGUGAUCGGGCACUUCACCCGUCCGUCUGCUGCGUUCCUGAAGACCGUUUAAGUGCAGGGUUAUUAAUCAAGCUCCGGCUCUGAGUGCUGCCUCAUGUUUGGCUUCACAAACAAACCACUUCACCAAAGUUAAACACGGAACUCUUGUUGUGUUGACUGAAGGAAAAUGGGAAACGUCUGGUGAAAUCAGCUGCUGGUCUCGUCCAUGGUCGCGUCCUGUUCUGAUGGAAGAACGUGGCACUGGGAGAGAAUAACCAGGUUCUGAGGUUCCUGUGACCUGACGUCAGAGGUCUCAUCACACACGCUCUUCGAGCAGAUUCAUGUAGGACGGGUCUUCACCAGAUGAAUGAGGUUCUGUGCUUUAGAGCCUCUGAUGCUUUCUGCUUCCUUCCACUGUUUAAGUGCUGGUAUUGAGGAACAAUGGGCUCCGUCUUUGGACACCUUGUUCUGGAGAAGAGCUUCUCAGCCGACCGCGUUGAUGGCUCCUCAUCGGGCCUCUUCCAGCUCCGCCGUGGGAGAUCACGUGGCGGCGAGCGGGGGGGUCAAAGGUUAAAGCAGGACCCGCUGGAGGAGCUCUGAGGGAAUGGGCUGAACCAGAGCUCAGCGUGGCACCGAGCUGGACCUCAGCUCUGAACUGACCCGACCCGCAGACAGACGGGCUGUGGGCGCGGCGGCGUCCGGUCACGCUAACACUCCAUUAGGACGCAGCAGUGAGCGGUGUGAUGCUAAAGGUCGCAGAUCAAUGCGUGCGCGGUGCCUUUGUUCCUGCUCCACCUGUGGCCUGGCUGAACAUGCAGACGCACGCUCCUCCCUGCUCCUCCCUGCUCCUCCAGGGCCGGAGGCAGCAGCUUCUGGAGCUGGAAAGGCUGCGUCACUCACCCUGCUGCUCCGGCCUCAGUCUGUGGGCUCUGCUGCCCCCUGCUGGACACACGGAGGCGGCGCGUGGCUCCAUCAGGGGCCCACGAUUCACCGGUGAAGAGCCUUCGUUCUGCUUCUCUCACUGGUGGAAACGUUCACGUCCAGCUCCAGACGCUGAGAGCAAACAGCUGCUGGAGGGAAAUACGAUCAGCGUCGGGUCAACAGUUAGGACUCGGAUGAGGGUUUUUAGCCGCCACCUGUUAGUUUGUGUCUGAACAAAUACAGGCUGUGGUUGGAGGUCGGGUCAUUCCUGACGCCAAACGGACGCCUCACAGUCUCCACGGCCUCUUGAUUAUCCUCCACCUGCAGCUCCAGCGACCCCGAGGACUGAAGCCCAAAAACGGGCCCAACAAUAAUAAAACUCCCAACAAUAAUAAAACUCCCA